rnacentral:tRNA from 1 species
GCCUGGGUGGCUCAGUCGGUUGAGCGUCUGACUUCAGCUCAGGUCACGAUCUCACAGUUCGUGAGUUCGAGCCCUGCAUCAGGCU